GAUGAACGCUGGCGGCGUGCCUAAUACAUGCAAGUCGAGCGAACGGACGAGAAGCUUGCUUCUCUGAUGUUAGCGGCGGACGGGUGAGUAACACGUGGAUAACCUACCUAUAAGACUGGGAUAACUUCGGGAAACCGGAGCUAUUACCGGAUAAUAUUUUGAACUGCAUGGUUCAAAAGUGAAAGACGGUCUUGCUGUCACUUAUAGAUGGAUCCGCGCGGCAUUAGCUAGUUGGUAAGGUAACGGCUUACCAAGGCAACGAUGCAUAGCCGACCUGAGAGGGUGAUCGGCCACACUGGAACUGGGACACGGACCAGACGCCUACGGGAGGCAGCAGUAGGGAAUCUUCCGCAAUGGGCGAAAGCCUGACGGAGCAACGCCGCGUGAGUGAUGAAGGUCUUCGGAUCGUAAAACUCGCUUAUUAGGGAAGAACAUAUGUGUAAGUAACUGUGCACAUCUUGACGGUACCUAAACAGAAAGCCACGGCUAACUACGUG
rnacentral:rRNA from 1 species